GUCUCGGGGUCAACAAACUGAGGACAGCAACUCAUGUUACCAGACCAUGGUCAGCACUAGGAAUGAACUGCCGAGGACUCAUGAAUCCAUUAAUGCUCUCCAUAGAGAAAGAAGAUAGGAGCCACAUGAGUAUGUGCAAAUACCGACCACAGAGAGAAAUCCAUAGCAUUUCCUUUGCUUUUAGAGAAAAAUUUUCUACAAAAAUUUUACCAUUUUUUUUUAAUUUGGGAGAAAAUUUUAAGCCAAGAAAUCCUGUGAUUCCAAUAUGAAGGUUAAAGGGAGCUUUGACUGUAUUUGAGUAGUUAAGCAUAACAAAAAUGACCAGGCUAAGUAAGUUUUGACUUUCGAUUGCCUGAUUUUAUUCCUUGGAAUUUAGUUAAGCACUUUUAGUGAAGUAUUGAUUCUUGUGUAUAUCUUGUGUUAUGUAUGUGUUUUACCUUCUUCUAAAGAAAUCAGUACUUGUUAUCCAACAGCAUUCUAACUUUCUACUAGGUUUAUUAGGCUGAAUGGAAACUGUCUAUCAUCUUCUUAUUGUGUCUUAAGGAACUAAUCAUCUCUUGAGCUCUUAGCUCCUGCUGUUAUUCCUUUAGAAGACAGAAUUCCUGGCUCCCCAGUAAGAAGUUUCCCCUGAGGGAAGACCUUUGUUUUCAGGCACAAUACUUAAUAUCCAGUACAUGUCCAAUAAACUAGCAAUUCUAUGUAUAUAUGUAUGAUGAGAUAUGCUUCCUAAUCUAAAUGUACAGAAGAAAUAAAACAUUUUCUAAAUUCUGUGAUAACUCAGGAAAAGGAGUUCAAUAAACACUUUUAAAGUAUCAAAAUAAUUUAAAUAUUAAAAGUAGUUUUCAUCUUUUUCAUGGAAUAAGAAAAAGAAAUUAGAAAACAUUUUUAAAGCAGUAAAGCACUAGAAAGGCUAUAUUAAAAUUGAAAAUGUAGAAAUAAAAGCAAAUUUUAAAAUUUAGUUUUUUUAACUUACCUUCUUAAAAUGAUUAUUUAAAAUGAAUCAUUUUAAACUAAAUAUUCCCUUUGAUAUAAUCCAUGUCUACUAUUUACAGCAUUUGUAUACUGCUAAAGUAUUUAUCACUACAAAGUGUACCAAAGUGUAAGGCUG
rnacentral:lncRNA from 1 species